GUGGUCUGAAGGACCCCAUUGACUCAGCUGGUCUGAGGGGCACCACGAGCUGACUUACCAAAGAAUCUAGUUUCCACAUCCUGAUGACUUCAUCCUGCUUGCUCUGACCAUCAACAACCCUAAUUCUCCAGUCCUUCACCCUCCCUGAUCCCCUUUAAAACUCCAGCCUGGAACUUCUUGGGGAUAUAGAUGUCUCCUCCUAUCUGCUUACUUGGCGCCCUGUGAUGUCCAGGGUCUUUGAAGAUGUUAGUUCACUGUUUAUUCAUGUGGGUUCCUGUAAAUGUCUACAGCCAAUCUGGAAGUGGAGCUGUAUUUGGAACUUUUUGAAUCUACAUCAGUUUGGGAGAACACUCACUGAAGUAUGGAAUUCAUACUCAAAAAUAUGGAAGAAUAUCUGGAGAAAGUUAACAAAUGUGGGAACAGAAGCCUUUCCCAGGGAUUCCCUCUUCCACGUGAAGCAGCCUGGGAGCUGCGGAAGAUGAAGCCAGCUCAGAUUGGACUGUGAAGCUUCAGGUCAGGGGCAAGAGAUAUGUUCUUUUCAGGAAUAGCAGUGUGCUUUUGGAAAUAGAGAAAUUUCUUGUGUACCUGUGACCAGGCUGUCAGCCACCCUGCAGCCAUUCUUCCUCCUGUAGGUUUCCUUCCUGGCUGGGCAGAGUCCUAAGCAGGCAGAGCUAGAGGAGAAGACAGAAGCCAUUAGAGUCUAGGCCUGCUAGAUAUUCAACACUAGCAGGCUGAGAAGCUUCUUCAUACUAAAGGGUAACAACAUACACAUAGAGUGUAGUUACAAUUUGUCUCCUUAUCCAAGAACACAGUAUAUCCUCAAAUUAGAAAUAUAGUAUGCAUUUUUCAUUUUUUCUUGUUGGACUUUUUUCUAGCCUGAACCACUAAAAAGGCUUAUGCCUGCUAAUAGCUCAGGAGGAAUGAGCCUCUAAAGUGCAAAACUGUCUCUGAAUAUCAUUUACCCGUGACAGAAACCAGGACUCACUGGAGAAAUAGCUGAGUCUAGUAUAGACUAAGAAAUCUUCAAGAUGAGUGUGGAAUAUCUUAUAUCACACCCUCAUGUUCCUCAUUGUUAGAAUGGCACUGACUUCAUAGGGUUGGGCUGAGUUAAUAUCCCGAAAUUACUUAGAACAAUAAGAAAGUAACUCAUAAGGACCAUAAAGGUGAGCAUAUUUGCAUUUCAUAAUAAAAGGGUGACAUUCCAGAACAACAUUUAGUACACUUAGCUGUAUAUGUGAAGUCAUCAAAAUCUAGUGCCGCAAAUCUUAUAGAAGAGCUAGGACUCUGUCUUCUUAACUCAGUAGCCUACCUUCAAGGCCCUGUUUGCCUGCCCCUGAUUUUACUUUUUAAACUUUUUUGUUGUAAACGAAGACACAUACGCAUUAAUCUAGGCCUACAUAGGGUUAGGAUCUUGAGUAUCACUGUCUUACACGUUCUAUCAUGUCUCACUUAAAGUAUUCAGGGGCAAUAACAUGCAUGGAGCAGACAACUCCUAUGGUGACAAUGUCUUCUAGAAUCUCUUCUGAAGCAUCUGCUUGAGGCUUGUUUUUGAGUUAACUUUUCUUUUUUAGUAAGUAGAAGGAAUACACUCUAAAAUAACAAUAAAUAGUAUAAAAAUAUAUAAACCA